GCUUGCUCCCGGAUGUUAGCGGCGGACGGGUGAGUAACACGUGGGUAACCUGCCUGUAAGACUGGGAUAACUCCGGGAAACCGGAGCUAAUACCGGAUAGUUCCUUGAACCGCAUGGUUCAAGGAUGAAAGACGGUUUCGGCUGUCACUUACAGAUGGACCCGCGGCGCAUUAGCUAGUUGGUGAGGUAACGGCUCACCAAGGCGACGAUGCGUAGCCGACCUGAGAGGGUGAUCGGCCACACUGGGACUGAGACACGGCCCAGACUCCUACGGGAGGCAGCAGUAGGGAAUCUUCCGCAAUGGACGAAAGUCUGACGGAGCAACGCCGCGUGAGUGAUGAAGGUUUUCGGAUCGUAAAGCUCUGUUGUUAGGGAAGAACAAGUGCAAGAGUAACUGCUUGCACCUUGACGGUACCUAACCAGAAAGCCACGGCUAACUACGUGCCAGCAGCCGCGGUAAUACGUAGGUGGCAAGCGUUGUCCGGAAUUAUUGGGCGUAAAGGGCUCGCAGGCGGUUUCUUAAGUCUGAUGUGAAAGCCCCCGGCUCAACCGGGGAGGGUCAUUGGAAACUGGGAAACUUGAGUGCAGAAGAGGAGAGUGGAAUUUCCACGUGUAGCGGUGAAAUGCGUAGAGAUGUGGAGGAACACCAGUGGCGAAGGCGACUCUCUGGUCUGUAACUGACGCUGAGGAGCGAAAGCGUGGGGAGCGAACAGGAUUAGAUACCCUGGUAGUCCACGCCGUAAACGAUGAGUGCUAAGUGUUAGGGGGUUUCCGCCCCUUAGUGCUGCAGCUAACGCAUUAAGCACUCCGCCUGGGGAGUACGGUCGCAAGACUGAAACUCAAAGGAAUUGACGGGGGCCCGCACAAGCGGUGGAGCAUGUGGUUUAAUUCGAAGCAACGCGAAGAACCUUACCAGGUCUUGACAUCCUCUGACAACCCUAGAGAUAGGGCUUUCCCUUCGGGGACAGAGUGACAGGUGGUGCAUGGUUGUCGUCAGCUCGUGUCGUGAGAUGUUGGGUUAAGUCCCGCAACGAGCGCAACCCUUGAUCUUAGUUGCCAGCAUUCAGUUGGGCACUCUAAGGUGACUGCCGGUGACAAACCGGAGGAAGGUGGGGAUGACGUCAAAUCAUCAUGCCCCUUAUGACCUGGGCUACACACGUGCUACAAUGGACAGAACAAAGGGCUGCGAGACCGCAAGGUUUAGCCAAUCCCACAAAUCUGUUCUCAGUUCGGAUCGCAGUCUGCAACUCGACUGCGUGAAGCUGGAAUCGCU
rnacentral:rRNA from 1 species